GAUGAACGCUGGCGGCGUGCCUAAUACAUGCAAGUCGAGCGAACGGACGAGAAGCUUGCUUCUCUGAUGUUAGCGGCGGACGGGUGAGUAACACGUGGAUAACCUACCUAUAAGACUGGGAUAACUUCGGGAAACCGGAGCUAAUACCGGAUGAUAUUUUGAACCGCAUGGUUCAAAAGUGAAAGACGGUCUUGCUGUCACUUAUAGAUGGAUCCGCGCUGCAUUAGCUAGUUGGUAAGGUAACGGCUUACCAAGGCAACGAUGCAUAGCCGACCUGAGAGGGUGAUCGGCCACACUGGAACUGAGACACGGUCCAGACUCCUACGGGAGGCAGCAGUAGGGAAUCUUCCGCAAUGGGCGAAAGCCUGACGGAGCAACGCCGCGUGAGUGAUGUAGGUCUUCGGAUCGUAAAACUCUGUUAUUAGGGAAGAACAUAUGUGUAAGUAACUGUGCACAUCUUGACGGUACCUAAUCAGAAAGCCACGGCUAACUACGU
rnacentral:rRNA from 1 species